AGACACGUCCAGUGAUCCAGAGUCCAUGUUAAAGGGGAUGAAGGGUAAUGAGCUGACGCCGGCCGGCCUGGAGUUUCUGCACAGGCUGAAGAAGGACAAGGAGCUGAAGCGCCUGCAGGAGAUAAUUCAAUAAUUCCCUGAAGACCAAACAAGAGGUUGCGAAAGUAAAAGAAAAGACUGCAUCUGCACCGCGCCGAGGCAAACCAAAACCAAAAACUCAAGAUUCCACAAACCCAAGCAAACUCCCGAGCAGAGCGAACCGCAAGAAGAUCAAGCCCGCCGCCGCAGCACAGAAGAUUAAACCCGAUGCACCGACGCGUGAAGGUUCCGGCCCGGCUCCACCCGAUCAGGCGCUUCCACUUCCAGAGAGCAGGGUGAAGAGGAGAGCGGUCGCGGUUGAUCCAGGGGACAAUCGCCAGAAGAGGGACAAGCAACCAGGGCUCGACCGGAUGCGGGGCCCCCGGCGACUCCCGCGCGCACACGGGGGAAAGCCCCACCGUCGACCCCCGCAGAGGGGAAAGCUCUCGGGUUACGGAGGUCCAAGAGAAUCGCUUGUCGGACGUGAAAGAAGACAACGCAACAGACUUAUCUCGGGGUUUUAGGUACUUUAAUUACAAUUUGUAGGAAAGUUAAAUACAAAGUUGUAUUAACUGAAUUUGUGUGACUUUGUUGAAAACGUCUACAUGUUUACUGAAAUUCAAUUCCUGUCAAAUAAAUGUAAUAGAACAUUAAAAUGACAGAAUUUAA